AAGUUGUAACAAGGUCUCUGUUGGUGAACUAGUAGAAGGAUCAUUACUGAGUCAUGUGUUCAAACAACCCUUCUGUAGACCUGAAUUAAACUGUUGCCUUGGUGGGCGGUCCCUUGUCAAAACCCUACGUGGGUGUGGUCAGGGGACUAGACAGUCUGGUAUGCUUAAGGUGUCCUGGUGUCAGCUGUUGGUCCUAAACAAUUAAACUCUAAUAACUUUACCUUCUGAGUUUUAAUACAAAAAAUAAGUCAAAACUUUCAACAACAGAUCUCUUGGUUCUA
rnacentral:misc_RNA from 1 species